rnacentral:rRNA from 1 species
UAGCGGCGAGUGAAGCGGCAAAAGCUCAAAUUUGAAAUCUGGCGCCUUCGGUGUCCGAGUUGUAAUUUGAAGAUUGUAACCUUGGGGUUGGCUCUUGUCUAUGUUUCUUGGAACAGGACGUCACAGAGGGUGAGAAUCCCGUGCGAUGAGAUGCCCAAUUCUAUGUAAGGUGCUUUCGAAGAGUCGAGUUGUUUGGGAAUGCAGCUCUAAGUGGGUGGUAAAUUCCAUCUAAAGCUAAAUAUUGGCGAGAGACCGAUAGCGAACAAGUACAGUGAUGGAAAGAUGAAAAGAACUUUGAAAAGAGAGUGAAAAAGUACGUGAAAUUGUUGAAAGGGAAGGGUUUGAGAUCAGACUCGAUAUUUUGUGAGCCUUGCCUUCGUGGCGGGGUGACCCGCAGCUUAUCGGGCCAGCAUCGGUUUGGGCGGUAGGAUAAUGGCGUAGGAAUGUGACUUUACUUCGGUGAAGUGUUAUAGCCUGCGUUGAUGCU